CAGAGGUAGAGGGAAUUACUGGUGUAACGGUGAAAUGUGCAGAUAUCAGUAAGAACACCAACUGGCGCAAUAGCACUCGUACUGGACCAACAACUGACACUCAGUAGACGAAAGCUAGUGCGGAGCGAAUAGGAUUAGAUACCCUAGUAGUCCUAGCUGUAAACGAUGGAAACUAAAUAUUGCGUUUUUAAAAUGCACUAUUGUAGCUAACGCGUUAAGUUUCCCGCCUGGGGAGUAUGCUCGCAAGAGUGAAACUCAAAGAAAUUGACGGGGGCCCGCACAAGCGGUGGAGCAUGUGGUUUAAUUCGAUGCAACGCGGAAGAACCUUACCGGGGUUUGACAUACUAUGAAUUUUUUGGAGACGAGAAAGUUUAAACAUACAUACAGGUGGUGCAUGGCUGUCGUCAGCUCGUGUCGUGAGACGUAGGGUUAAGUCCUGUAACGAGCGCAACCCUUAUUGUUAGUUGCUAUAAGGAAACUAGUAAGACUGCCAGUGAUAAGCUGGAGGAAGGUGAGGAUGACGUCAAGUCAGCAUGCCCCUUAAAUCCCGGGCUACACACGUGCUACAAUGGUUAAGACAAAGAGAUGCUAACUUGUGAAAGUACAGCCAACCUCAAAAACUUAAUCUCAGUUCGGAUUGUAGGCUGCAACUCGCCUACAUGAAGCCGGAAUCGCUAGUAAUCGCAGGUCAGCUAUACUGCGGUGAAUACGUUCCCGGGCCUUGUACACACCGCCCGUCACACCAUCGAAGCUGACUAGGCCCGAAGCCGUUGUAAACGU
rnacentral:rRNA from 1 species